ensembl:snRNA U6 U6 spliceosomal RNA
GUGCUCACGUCAGCAUCACGUAUACUAAAACUGGAAUGAGACAGAGAAGAUUUGCAUGGACCCUGUGCAAAAAGAUGAUCUGUGUACCAUCCAAGUCACCCUGUGGGCU